AUUGAACGCUGGCGGCAUGCUUUACACAUGCAAGUCGAACGGUAACAGGCCGCCAGGUGCUGACGAGUGGCGAACGGGUGAGUAAUGCAUCGGAACGUGCCCAGUCGUGGGGGAUAACUACUCGAAAGAGUAGCUAAUACCGCAUACGAUCUAUGGAUGAAAGCGGGGGACCGUAAGGCCUCGCGCGAUUGGAGCGGCCGAUGUCAGAUUAGGUAGUUGGUGGGGUAAAGGCUCACCAAGCCAACGAUCUGUAGCUGGUCUGAGAGGACGACCAGCCACACUGGGACUGAGACACGGCCCAGACUCCUACGGGAGGCAGCAGUGGGGAAUUUUGGACAAUGGGCGCAAGCCUGAUCCAGCAAUGCCGCGUGCAGGAAGAAGGCCUUCGGGUUGUAAACUGCUUCUGUACGGAACGAAACGGCUCUGGUUAAUACCCGGGGCUAAUGACGGUACCGUAAGAAUAAGCACCGGCUAACUACGUG
rnacentral:rRNA from 1 species